rnacentral:rRNA from 1 species
CCUAAAGUUAGUUGGUAAGCUCCAACUAAGGCUAAAUAUCACUGUGAGACCGAUAGCAAACAAGUACCGUGAGGGAAAGUUGCAAAGCACUUUGAAGAGAGAGUGCAAUAGGACGUGAAACCGCUUGCAGGGAAACAGAUGGACCCACGAAGUCCUGUGUAUCACUGGGUACUUACUUCGGUUUGUAUUCAGUUCUAUACACGCGGAGCUCUGACUUGUAAGGCACUACAAGUAGUUGAACUAUAAUGUAGUGAUGUACAGUUGUAUACUUCGAGUAUAUGUAUGUACCUCUCACUGCAAUCAAUUGCUUGCUUUACAAGUUGGUUUUACUUCACUUUACUUAACUGUAUAGAAGUAUAUAGCCAGGUUGCUUUGUGGUGUGAAUAGAGACGUGUGUGGGCAAGGAGGAAAGGUGACAAACUUGGGUCUACUCUUCAUUGAGUAUUCCUCGGGUCUUUGCUACUUCUCACUCACUAACUAUCACACCACUUGCAAGCAAUUCCAGAGUAAGUAGGUCGGCAUCCAUCUGA